AUCUCCGGGGGUAGAGCACUGUUUCGGCAAGGGGGUCAUCCCGACUUACCAACCCGAUGCAAACUGCGAAUACCGGAGAAUGUUAUCACGGGAGACACACGGCGGGUGCUAACGUCCGUCGUGAAGAGGGAAACAACCCAGACCGCCAGCUAAGGUCCCAAAGUCAUGGUUAAGUGGGAAACGAUGUGGGAAGGCCCAGACAGCCAGGAUGUUGGCUUAGAAGCAGCCAUCAUUUAAAGAAAGCGUAAUAGCUCACUGGUCGAGUCGGCCUGCGCGGAAGAUGUAACGGGGCUAAACCAUG
rnacentral:rRNA from 1 species